rnacentral:rRNA from 1 species
GAUGAACGCUAGCUACAGGCUUAACACAUGCAAGUCGAGGGGCAGCAUGAUUGAAGCUUGCUUCAAUCGAUGGCGACCGGCGCACGGGUGAGUAACACGUAUCCAACCUGCCGAUAACUCGGGGAUAGCCUUUCGAAAGAAAGAUUAAUACCCGAUAGUAUAGUAUUUCCGCAUGGUUUCACUAUUAAAGAACUUCGGUUAUCGAUGGGGAUGCGUUCCAUUAGAUAGUUGGCGGGGUAACGGCCCACCAAGUCAACGAUGGAUAGGGGUUCUGAGAGGAAGGUCCCCCACAUUGGAACUGAGACACGGUCCAAACUCCUACGGGAGGCAGCAGUGAGGAAUAUUGGUCAAUGGACGAGAGUCUGAACCAGCCAAGUAGCGUGAAGGAUGACUGCCCUAUGGGUUGUAAACUUCUUUUAUACGGGAAUAAAGUGGAGUAGGCAUACUCCUUUGUAUGUACCGUAUGAAUAAGGAUCGGCUAACUCCGUG